rnacentral:rRNA from 1 species
GAGUUUGAUCAUGGCUCAGAGUGAACGCUGGCGGCGUGCUUAACACAUGCAAGUCGAACGAGAACGGAUUAUAGCUUGCUAUAAUUGUCAGCUAAGUGGCGCACGGGUAAAAAAAAUAUAGGUAAUGUGCCCUAGAGAAGAGGAUAACAGUUGGAAACGACUGCUAAGACUCUAUAUGCCUUUAAGACAGAAGUCUGCAAGGGAAAUAUUUAUAGCUCUAGGAUCAGCCUGUACAGUAUCAGCUAGUUGGUGAGGUAAUGGCUCACCAAGGCAAUGACACUUAACUGGUUUGAGAGGAUGAUCAGUCACACUGGAACUGAGACACGGUCCAGACUCCUACGGGAGGCAGCAGUGGGGAAUAUUGCACAAUGGACGAAAGUCUGAUGCAGCAACGCCGCGUGGAGGAUGACACAUUUCGGUGCGUAAACUCCUUUUAUAUGGGAAGAUAAUGACGGUGCCAUAUGAAUAAGCACCGGCUAACUCCGUGCCAGCAGCCGCGGUAAAA